rnacentral:rRNA from 1 species
UCAGGACGAACGCUGGCGGCGUGCCUAACACAUGCAAGUCGAACGGAGAAUUUGAGAAGUUUACUUUGAAAAAUUCUUAGUGGCGGACGGGUGAGUAACGCGUGGGUAACCUACCCAUAAAUCCGGGACAACCCUUGGAAACGAGGGCUAAUACCGGAUAAUCUUCNANCUUGGCAUCAAGNUUGAAGGAAAGAUGGCCUCUGAAUAUGCUAUCGAUUAUGGAUGGACCCGCGUCUGAUUAGCUAGUUGGUGGGGUAAAGGCCUACCAAGGCGACGAUCAGUAGCCGGCCUGAGAGGGUGAACGGCCACACUGGGACUGAGACACGGCCCAGACUCCUACGGGAGGCAGCAGUGGGGAAUCUUCCGCAAUGGACGAAAGUCUGACGGAGCAACGCCGCGUGUAUGAUGAAGGUCUUCGGAUUAUAAAGUACUGUCUUUGGGGAAGAACGGUCGAUUUGAAAAUAUUGAGUCGACAUGACG